UUCCUCUUAGUUAAAGAGGUAAGGCCUGCUCACUGAAAAUUGAAGAGCCGCAGUAUCCUAACUGUGCUAAGGUAGCAUAAUCAUUAGUCUUUUAAUUGAAGACUGGUAUGAAUGGCUAAACGAGAAAUUAACUUUUUUUGUUAUAAAUAUUGAAUUUAAUUUUUUAGUGAAAAAGCUAAAAUUUUUCAGAAAGACGAGAAGACCCUAUAGAGUUUUAUAUAGAAUAAAAUUUUUUCUAAGUAGAUUUUUUUAGAAUAAAUUUUUUUAUAUAUUUUGUUGGGGCGACAUUAAGAUAAAAGAAACUCUUUAUUUUAAAAAUUUUUAUAAAAAUAUAAUUUGAUCCUCUUAAAGAGAUCAAAAGGAAAAAUUACCUUAGGGAUAACAGCGUAAUCUUUUUUGAGAGUUCUAAUCGACAAAAAGGUUUGCGACCUCGAUGUUGGACUAAAAUUUAGGCAGGGUGCAGCAGUUCUGCUUUUAGGUCUGUUCGACCUAUAAUAUUUUACACGAUCUGAGUUCAGACCGGCGUAAGC
rnacentral:rRNA from 1 species